UUCCACGUUCUAGGAUCCGUCUAUAUACCUCUCCAAAACUCAAAACCUACAAAACCGAUAUGGAGUUCCUGUACCGCUCCAUCGACGAGCGUGGCCGCCGAUCCCCGCCGCCACCAGCCGCGCCAAGUACUCCUGGCUCCGGAUCGGCAGACAGCCAUCACGGCGAUGGUCCAACAGAGCGCGCGGGAAAUUCAGCCGUGACGCUAUGGCAGCCUGAUCUGCCGCCACCGGAGACGGCGGCGGCCGACGCCGACGAGCUGCGGCGGCAAGCGGAGAAAGCGAGGAUCAGGGAGCGGAUCCUCAGGGAGGAAGCGGCGCACUGGGAGCUCGAGCUGGAGGUGCGCAGCGAGUUAAGGGAGCAGAUGCUGCGUCUGUCGUGGCCUGUGCUUGGGCGAUCGGCGAAGGGAUCUGACAUGCCGGCGGCUCUGUCGAUGGGAACUGUUGCCGCCGCCAACUCAAUACUGCCUGUUGUUGCACUUGAGGCCCACUCAAAAGCAAACGCACUAGCAACCGCGCCAACCAAACGGAAGAGCCCUGAUCGUGCCACUGGAGCAUUGUUGGUUCCAAGCAGCAAGAAGCAGAAGAGUGCAUUAACCUGCAUGGUGUGUGGCAUCACCGCAAACAGCGAGAAGGCCAUGCAAGACCACCUCAAUGGGAAGGUGCACAAGAGGAAGGUGGUAGCACUUCCGGAGCUGCAGAAGCUAGUGCCAGAGACAGUGCAAGAGAGAGGGCUCGAGGCAGGGGAGAAAGAGGCAAUGGCAAUGGAGUCAUUGGGAGAUUACAAACCGACGAAGUUCAUGAUGGCGACGACUGCAGGAGAGCAGAACGAAGUGACACAGAUGGAUGGGUACCUACUCUGUGAGUUGUGCAAUGUGCGGACAUCAGACCGUGUUACCAUGAUGUGCCACCUUCAAGGGAGCAAACACAUCUCCAAUGGCCAGAAGAAGCGUCAACCCUCCAGCAAGCCAUUGAGUAAGGCGAAGGGUAUAGUUAGUGCUGCCACUUCAGCUAUUGGCAGUGCUGAUCCUAAAAAGCUGGUUCUAGAGGAUUUCAGUGUGCCGCUGCCACACAUGGUGCGGCGCUUGGAUGGCUUUCUGCUCUGCGAGCUGUGUGAUGUGAAGGCCCCAUCGAUGAAUGGCAUGCGUCAACACUUGUCAGGGAAGCAGCACAAGAAUAAGGAGAAUGCCAGCUCUGAUGCCUCUGUCGACGUGUCCACAGGUGAAGAGGAAGCAGCCAAAGCACAGCCGGUAGACACGGACAUGACUGUCAUCUCUGACACGGCAGCAAAGGUGGAAGCUCCAUUGGAGAAGUCCUUGCAACCAAAGCUUAGUGAUGACAGUGAGGUGCAAGAAAUGACCGUGGCACCACCAAAAGAAGACGCCCCCACUGGGGACAAUGCUAAGACCGCUGGAAUGGAAAUGAUGAAAAACAGUGCAACUUCUGUUGGGGCUCAGCUUAAUAAUGUCUCUAAUUCUGACUCGGUGACCAUGGAAGUAGACGGUCUGAUGCACCCUCUCUCCCGAGUGGAUGGCUUCCUCGUCUGCCUGAGCUGCAACGCAAAGGCACCAACUGAGACCAUCAUGCAGUCUCACCUAGCUGGAAAAAAGCACAAGCGCAAGAUGACACUCGGUGCACAAGGAAACAAUGACUUGUCUGUCCUUGCCACCGAGGCUGAUGAGGUGCAAGACAGCAGCUCAAAGUCCACGAAAGCCAAUUAAUAUGGAGGCUGGAUCAGUGCCACAGGCAAAAACUGCUGCAAUGGCACUCAUGGCAGUAGAUCAACCAGCAGAAGCUCAAGUUGAUACCUGCAUUGUUGAACCAGCUGAGGAUUGCGAGAUUACUGAGGAAGUUGAAGGAGAGCAAGCAGCUGCCGGCUCCAAUGGCUCUGUGACUCAAACCAAGGAAUCUGUGAGAACAAAUGACACCACUGCUGUGCCUGGCAAGCCAAUCAAGAUCCAGGUGGAGGGCAAGGUUUUUACCGUGACGCAGCAGGAGAGUGGCAGUCUCUCGUGCGAGGUGUGUGGCAUACAUGGAUGCGACAAAGAAAGCAUGAUUCUGCACCUCUACACUAGCACACACUCAGCAUGGCAAGCGAGGGUUCUGGACUUCUGGUGGACUGAGAAGUGGCAGUCGGGGUGUGUGAUCAUAAAUAGCUUGAAUGUAGCAUAUUGACUAUUACUACUUCUUGAGUCUGUAGGAUAUAGUUUGGCGAAUUGGCAUGGUUGGGGAUGGCCUGCAUACUGCAGAGUGAUUGAAUUGUUUUGGCAAAGUUGAAUCUGGGUUAGCACCUACUGCCACUUCUUCAGCUUCCAGCGAUUGAGCCCUUGCUUUGUUGUUACUGCUUACCUGCAAUUUACAGGUACAUAGAUAGACAUCACUAAUUGCUGCACUCAGUUGAUAAAGCUGUGGUUAUUCAUGUCUGUAGUAAGUUGUCAGUAUCCAAAAGAAGCCAUCUUUGUAAUCUGUAAUAACUCAACUUCUAUGAGCACGGCUACAGGAUUAUGCA